UCUGAAAGUAUCGAAAUGAAAACUCGUCACGUGACAAAGCGACAAUGGCGUCAAAAUUGUGAAUUUCAGACUGAUGAGAGUUAUUUUCGUAUAUUCAAACAUACACAGUGACUGUAAUGCACACGUAUUCCGGGCCAGCGAAUGCCGUAUCCGGAAACCCAGAUACAGGGUCCCUUAGAUCCACAAAUAGGGAGGAACAACAAGUCGUUAGGACUGCUGAUAUAAAAGCGUAUGGGAAACACAAGAACAAGUUCAAGAAAGCAAAAAAGAAAUAUAUCAAGUUUCUGAACACAGGGACAUUUAACAAAAUUUUGCCAAUGAACUCGCAGUCUAAACAAGAGAUGUACAAGGAACUUAAACAAUCAAAUUACCGAAUUCAUGUAAUACCAGCCCAGAUGUUUGAAGAUGCAAGGCGUUAUGGGGAAAUCAACAUAUUUCAACUGGAGUAUACAUAUUUGCAUCCGGCUAGCAGCAGUUACGUUUUUGCAAUCCCUGUUUAUCGAAACGGUCACAUCAACUUAAUUGAUAGGAAUUGCAAUGAUAAUUACAAUUAGCCACCAUACAUAAAACAAGAACAUUUCUCUUAAGUGUUUAUUUAGUAAUUUGUUCAGUAUUAAAGGAUCAGGUUCAGAAAGUAAUAUUACUAACACUGGUCCAUCACUUAUGACAUCGUUCAUUACGUCCAACUGAAGUACUUCGAGAAAAGGAAUGACGUCUAUUGCAAAAUUCGCAUACGUAUUCUAGGAUAACUACAUUCUGUGCGAGCUCACUCUAAAUCAAAUCGAUUGUGCUCCUGAAUAUGCAUGCGAAUCAUAUUGUUCUUUUAAUUAAGUUUGUGUUUUUCUGGUGUAAGAACCCAAUUCGAAUGAUUACAUACAAGUGUUAUUAUAUCGCGUUUCACCAUGUCCUCGUGCACACGGAUAAAACAAUACCAACCACACGUUCUAAGCGUACGAUCUUCAUAAAUGAAUGAUUUUAUCGUAAGCUUGCAAAGAAUGUAGUCAACUGAUCAUUUGUAAAAUUUAACAUCAAAACCUUUACUCAUCAAUGAGAUAUUCAAGUUUAACAAGUGUUCCGUUAGAAUAGUCUCCAAGUGUACAUGUUUCCUAUGCGUGCUCACAUAAAUUACACUUUUUCGUUAUCUGAGCUUUGCAUCAGCUUGUGGUCACGUCGGCAUUCUCUGCUGUUACCAAGGAGCUGCUUACCGCCAUUGAAGUCUAAGGGCAACUCUAGCAGCAACCGCCCGAACUUGCUGUUAUUAUUGUCCCGAAACAAACAGCGAUUGAACAUAGUGGAAAUGAAUAGGUAUAAACAAACUUAUUCAACAUUAAGUGAGAGUGGAACGCUUGAACUGUUAAUGGCCUAUAUUGUAUCUUGAUACGAAGGAAGGGGAUUCUUUUCAAGACAGAAUUGCGACUACCGAUGGGACCCGGCUGUGUAAUUUCGAUCCUGAAACGAAAGUUCAGUCAGCUCUUUGGAAGUCACCAUUGGUUCAACAGUCCGGAAAGGCCCGCAUGCAAGGAAACUGGAAAAAGAUGUUCAUCAUUUACAGAGAUCGUCAAAGAACGAUCAUUCAGCAUUGAUUCAAAGAAUUAGAUGGUAUGGCAUUUUUGUCAGAUAACACAAUUUGCGAUAAGACGAAAUAAAACACAAUUUGACAAAACUGGUUCAGAAGACCAUAAAUUUAAUUGGGUAUACAGACAUUAAUAGUUUGUUGCGCUUGGUGGUCACUAUGUUUUUAAAUACGAAAACUGCUACUUCAAUAUGUGUUGUUUAAAAUAUAAAAUUGAUCUAAUUUCGAUGGCGACUGCAGAAAUAUCUGUUCAUGUUGAUUAUAUUAAUGUCAAUAAUCCGCAGUUGAUGUACAA